GCACUAUGUAGAAGUUGUUGUCUUGAUGGGCCCCAUUUUUUAAGUAUGCUCCGGGCCUCGAAAAAGUCAGGACAGGCCCUGUAUAUAUGCAGUGUUAUUUUCCUUUGUUGUUUGUACAUGUAAGUUACCAAAUAUAGGUUAAUAUCUAGCCUAUAGUAAAUGUGAAGUUAGAAAUGAUUUUUUCCUUAUGCAUUUUCUGGUUUGUAAAGCAGCUUUUGGUAACCUGGUUCGGUUAGUCUGUUGAUGUUCAACUUUUAUAUAUUAUCUUCCAUUGUAUCAAUUGAAUAGCAUGCCGCCUCUGUAAUAGUAUAAAUAAUAUUCCUAGCCUUACUUAUAGAACUUUCUGUAACUAUAGGUAUUUUCUGCUUUCCUCUAAAAUUGAUUUAUAUUUCAAGGAAGCAGAUGGAUAAGUAAAAUCAUAGUAUUACAGGCAGAACAAGUUCUUGCAAAACAUCAACAUGGAAGAGGUUUGCUCAUGGUUCUAGGACCGAUGCUCUUAGGGACCAUGAGUAUGUCCUAACCUAUGAAGACAAGGAUGCUGACUGGAUGCAUGUUGGCGAUCUUCCUUCGGAUUCAACAAGUUGUGUCUCAAGCUUGUAAGUUCUGUCACAAGGAUGAGAUUGCUAGAGUGCUACAAAACUUUUACGUGAUAGCAGUUGUACCAGUCAACUAGGAUGUCUACAUGAUGUUUCUUGUAUUCAUAGCAACAACACAAUCUUGUGGCGCGAGGUUGAGCUCUGAUCUUCAAAAGCAUUGCAAGCUUGGUGAUUCUUCUGCGGGAAACAUGCGGUCCUGUUUAAAUUAUGCAGUUUCACAUGAUGGUCAUGAGUUUGUUAUUCACAAGACAUCUAAUGAAGUCAUCCAACAAAAAGGUUCCGAACAAGCAAUUUGUCUUCCUGGACAUGGCUGUAGAUGUGUGUCAAGCUCAAACCAUUAGUUUAGCUUAGUUUGAACAAAAGAAAUCUUAUUUUCUUAUGUAAAUUCUAUUUAUUGAUGUAGUUGGAUGCUACUGAAUGCAUGUAUGAAUGUUGAAGUGCUGAAUUUUUAGUCA